UGGGGUGAGGCUGGGUGGUAAAGCACUUGCCUCCCACGUGUGAGGCACUGGGUUCGAUCCUCAGCACCACAU
rnacentral:tRNA from 1 species